CUGGCGGCAGGCUUAACACAUGCAAGUCGAACGCGUGUAGCAAUACACGAGUGGCGGCACGGGUGAGUAACGCGUGGAUAUCUGCCUUUGGUCGAUACCCGGAACUGGGCUAUACCGGAUGGUUCCUUCGGGAUAAAGAUUUAUCGCCAAAAGAUGAGUCCGCGUACGAUUAGCUAGUUGGUGAGGUAAUGGCUCACCAAGGCGACGAUCGUUAGCUGGUCCGAGAGGACGAUCCAGCCACACUGGGGCUGAGACACGGCCCAGACCCCC
rnacentral:rRNA from 1 species